CCUAUUAAAGAAUUUUCUUUCCUCUUUAGUCUAUCUACAGUGGUUAAAAUAGUGGUUUAUCAAGCAUGUGUCAGUUGGUCAGACACGCACGCGGAAGCACGCACACACACGUGCAUACACACACUGUUUGAGACAGUGGCUGAUGCUUACCAUAUUUUACCUUGCAAAUACCAUAUGAUGACUUAUAAAUGCAUUUCUAACUAUUGCUUAGAUGUUUUUAGUACACAUCUCUA